GAAUUGGGGAGCGGUGGAUGGGUGUUGGAUAUAUUUGGAAGAUGGGUGCAACAGGAUUUCCUGACUAUUAGAAUGUGAGAUGCAAGACAAAGAGAGGCCUUGAGGAUGACUUUAAGGACUUUGCCUCGAGCAAGCAAACAUUGGGCUUGGUAACAGCUGAGGUGGGGAGGCUGUGAGUGGAGCAGUUUUGGUGUUGGAAGAUUAUGCAGCCAGCUUGGGCAUUGUGAGGUUUGAGGUGCCCCUAGGACAUUCAACUGGAACCAGUUACAUCAUUUGGGGAUUAACUCAGCAAGAAAGCAGUGAAUCCAAGUGGCUCCAGAAUACCAAGACCCCUCCCUCCCAAUUUCUGCAGAGUACACUCUCUUACCACUUUCUACAUGGGAAGAGGUCUUCAAAGUUCUGGCUCUUAGAAGUCCCUGCUUCACCAAGAAUUUUGCUACUAUCGUCUCACACCAGCUUGUUUUGUGAGGCUCUCGUGGGGUGGGUUAGGAGGAGAGAUGUCUGUUCCCUUUCAAGGGUGCUGACUGCUCCCAUCUUCCCAAGCUCUGGCUGCCUGGCCUGUCACCCUUCUGUGGUGGUUUUAAUGCACCAGCCCUGUUGUGUUUUCUUGAAGCUGGCCAGGGAGACACCUGGCAGGGAAGAGGGGAGAACUUCACAGUGAGCUUUCCAGAGCCUGAGGAUGCUGGGUCUACUUUCUACUAGUGAGCACAAUGUGACUUAACCUGAAUGAGUCCAUCCCCUCACCUGUAAAAUGGGGUAACAUGAGCCAGAGAUAAUAUUUGGAAAUACCAACUUAGUAUUAUUUUUCUCCCAACAUCUCUCUCCCUUGCUCUUCCUCCCUCGUAAGAAGGGCAAACUAUAGAGAAUUCUACAAAUCUUUUGUCUUCCCCAAACUUAGGACCUAGGACAAGUGAAUUGUAACCCUCAAAGAGAAGCAAAAGGCUAACCAUGUUUUACAGGGAUUUGAGGGGAGUAGGAGCACUCCUACCUUCUCAUCACGAGGAUGAGAGCCUCUUGGGCUUUGUAGGUAGGUGGGGGAGGAGAGACUUAUCCCUAGGUCUGGGGGGUAGAUGAGACAGUCCCUGGCUUCCCCCAAACCCUGCUGGAAGGUGGUAAAAAUCUAAAGAGGAUAUGGCUGUGUGAUGUUGGCAGAUGGGCAAAAGCUGCCCCUGUGCCUGGCAUGAGGUGGGAGCAGCUGUGAGCCUCCAGUACUAACAGGUCAUGUAAGAUGGGAGGACGAGUCCCUCAGUGGCCACCUGUGUGGAUGGGUGACAGACAACCAGGUGCCACCCCCACCACCAGGCUUGGGUGCUGUGUCUGAUCCAGAACUAUGGCAUAAUAGGGUGGGGGUGGAAAGGAGAAAUCCCAGAGGCCCUGAAAAAUAGGAGUUCAGUAAUUCAGAUGGCUUACAGAAAAUGAAGACAUUGCUUGUAUCUCAGAAUUCGUGGACUGAGAUCCAUCCCUGUACAAAAGGAGGGCAUCAAGAGGGUCUCCAGGAGUAGACAACAACCGAACCACAGUGAUAAAAUGAAAGGGUCUCCAUGCCCAGCUUGGAGCCCAACACAGGGCUUGAACUCACGACCUGAGAUGGAGAUGUGAGCUGAGAGUUGGCCGCUUAACUGACUGAGCCAUCCAGACCUUUGGCCUUAGCGACCCCUCUCAGGCGCUGGUGGUUGACCGUGCAUGCGUGGAUGGUGUGCGCUUGCGAGGGAGCUGACGCUGAAACGGUCCCGAUCACGCCUGGAGAAAGUGCUUCUGUCUGAGCCGUGCCUGACACCACGACCCAGUCUUUUCUGGGUUUAAAGGGCCUUCGGAAAAGCAGCCAAUUUAAAGUGCAGGGCCGCUGUCAGAGCUUUCAGAGGGUGCCCCCUGCCUUCCCCCCUGUCUUGGAGCAAGGGAGGUUUCUCCAUCCUCACGUCCUGGAGAGAGAGGUUCUUGGGCUUAGCCCUGUGUUUCUCUACCAGCUUCCUCUGACCUCCGUCUGGACCCUUCCUGGCCUGGCAUCUGCUCCUGGGCAUGUCAGCUACUGACACAUCACGGUGGUGUACCUGGGGCUUUGCUGUCUUGGUACCUUCAGGGCUUGGCUGUCCUCCCUCAUUGACUCAACCCCGUGUCAGACCUCACUGAACGUCAGCCAUGUCCUCCAUCUGGUCACUUGGCCAUUGGAGGGCCACCCAAGGUGGCUCCAUCCUAUGCCCCUUCCCUGAGGCAAUAAACCUCAUGCCUUAUCUACCAUGCCGGUGGAAAGAGAAGACUUUUGCUUAUUGAGAAGGGAGCAGAUACUACCAAUCUAUCACAUUGCAUAGCCUUGGAAACCUUCUUAGCAGUGUUCCAGACAGCCAGGGACAAUCAACAAUCAACAAGAGCUGGCCUUGGAAAUAUGGACACUUUUCAAUCACUGGUAUAGAGUUAAGCUCGAGGAAGGUAGGGACAACAUGCAGUAUCUAGAUCUCACAACCAAAUAGGCAAUGUAAGUUUUACGUUUGAGAACUAUAUCAUCAGAAAUCACUUUAAGGUAUGAAAUCAUUACCACAUCCCCACAAAAUAAUCAUUCAGCCUCUGCUUGUAUAACUCUAGUGAUGGGGAGCUCACUGCCUCUUAACAGUGAAUUGCAUUUUUAGACUAUUCUAAGUAGUAGAAAGGGAUUCAGUAUGGUUGUUCUGAAACCUGCUCCUUGCAACUGGCUCCUACACAUAACAUAUUUCAUUCCCAUCCACACUGUUGGCUCCUCAUCUGUUCGAAGGCAGCCACCAUAGUCCCCAUUAGUGUC